ACAAUUUAUCCAUGGGGGUGGUGAUUUAGUAGCAGUGGGUGGCAAAGUGGCUUUGUUAACUAUUACGUUAGGAAUGUGAUUUUUUUGGUACAUCUCAUCCAUGCAUUUAUGAUUCAUGUCACGGUAUUGAUAUUCUUGAAAGGUGUUCUAUUUGCUUGUAGCUCUCGUUUGAUACCAGAUAAAGCAAAUCUUAGUUUUCGUUUUCCUUGUGAUGGACCUAGAAGAGGGGAUAUAUGUCAAGUAUCGGCUUAGGAUAAUGUCUUCUUAGAACUGUUCUGGAUGUACAAUUUCAUUUCGAUAGUAAUAUUCCAUUUCAGUUGGAAAAUUUAGUCAGAUAUUUGGGGCAGUAUAAGUGAUCAAGGGGUAGUAAUCAUAUCACGGGAGGAAACUUCGCCCAGAGUUCUAUUACUAUUAUUGGGUGGCUUCGGGAUUUCUUAUGGGCACAGGCAUCCCAACA
rnacentral:lncRNA from 1 species